rnacentral:rRNA from 1 species
GAUGAACGCUGGCGGCGUGCCUAAUACAUGCAAGUCGAGCGAACAGACGAGGAGCUUGCUUCUCUGAUGUUAGCGGCGGACGGGUGAGUAACACGUGGAUAACCUACCUAUAAGACUGGGAUAACUUCGGGAAACCGGAGCUAAUACCGGAUAACAUUUUGAACCGCAUGGUUCAAAAGUGAAAGACGGUGUUGCUGUCACUUAUAGAUGGAUCCGCGCUGCAUUAGCUAGUUGGUAAGGUAACGGCUUACCAAGGCAACGAUGCAUAGCCGACCUGAGAGGGUGAUCGGCCACACUGGAACUGAGACACGGUCCAGACGCCUACGGGAGGCAGCAGUAGGGAAUCUUCCGCAAUGGGCGAAAGCCUGACGGAGCAACGCCGCGUGAGUGAUGAAGGUCUUCGGAUCGUAAAACUCUGUUAUGAGGGAAGAACAUAUGUGUAAGUAACUGUGCACAUCUUGACGGUACCUAAUCAGAAAGCCACGGCUAACUACGUG